AACUCGCUCUCGAAAUCAGUUGGCCACGCGACGCUCGACGCGACCAGACGUGUCGUCGUUCGGUUCGGUUUGAAAGAAGCAACCCAAGUUUUGUUAAACUUCUUCCCUCCGCCUGGGUGGUGUGCCCUCCAGGGUGUGCUUUUUCUCGUCCUGGUGAACACGCUUUUCCUUGUUUUCGCUGUAUGUUAUCACAAUGAAAGCAGUUUGUUGUUUUCGACAACACAUUAGAAGGGUUACGAAUUACGAGUGGAAAGCCAGACAAACAGGAAAUUUGUGCCUUUCUCAUCCAGAGAAUAGUGAAUGUGUGCAAGAUUUACAGUAGUUAGUUUUCUAGUUAAUUAUUUACUGUCGUCUAAUGGUGCUGUAGUACGGUCGAUCAACCUAUUCGAAACGAAUAAUUUGUGACUAUCUUUGUUAGACAUGUUUCCAGUUCUUUUGUGACAUUUUUAUUCUCAUGUGUGCUAACUAUUCAUCGAGCAAAGUCUUGAACGUCAAGGAACGGGUUAUAUACGUUGAUGAUAAAUGGUACGGAAUACUACCGAUGUCAACCAACGUGACACACAAUGACUGAUCGUCAUGUGGAAAAUCAAGGAAAUUCCCGUUAGUGCUUUUCAAACAGUCGUGGUAUGACUUAAAAUCCGAAUAGCAGGCAUUCUUUGUUCGAUAAAAGUGUGAUGGAAAUGUUACCGGAAAUGAUAUUUUCCUACUAACGCUUUUCCUAAAAAUCAACCUUGCAACUGACUGCGCAAAUUUGAAAACGGCUGGGAGCAUGCCUUUCAGCAUGAAAGACAAUAAACGCUUUUUCAUCACCAGACCGUGGAAAAUGGAUCACGGUGAAGUUGACGAUGAAGCUCCUAUAGACCCGCGGCUCAAUAGUCGCACAUUUCCAUUGGAUCCGGAUUUCGAGGGUCAUCGAGCGCACACCGUUUACGUAGGUGUGCACAUUCCUGGCUCAUCGAGACGCCACUCGCAGCGACGUCGCCACAGGCACCACCAGCAGAGCCGUGAAAAUGGCGACAGGAAUGCCAGCGCCGAAGCCGAACGACCAGCCGUACCGAUGCCUCACGUUGUCACACAACGAAGAUUCAGUGUCGUUGACGACGGAGAAUUUUUUACCCCACCCGCACAAAGAGUUCAAUUUAUCUUGGGAGGCGAGGUGGACGACACGAACCAUGAGUCACACCCGCUGUUCUCCGAGAUGGAAGAACUGGUCAAGGAGGGCGACGACAUAGCCUGGAAGGAAACGGCCCGAUGGGUCAAAUUCGAGGAAGACGUCGAGGAGGGUGGCAAUCGGUGGUCUAAACCGCACGUGGCUACCCUAUCGCUGCACUCGCUUUUCGAGCUACGAAGUCUGCUGCUCAACGGUACGGUGAUACUGGAUAUGGAAGCCGUCAGCCUCGAGACGAUCGCCGAGCUGGUCUGCGAAAACAUGGUCAAUGCUGGCACAUUGCCCAUCGACGCACGAGAUAAGGUUAUCGACGCUCUGCUGAAGCGGCACAAACACCAGCACGAAUUCGGCAACAAAAAGUCCCGCUUGCCACUGAUCCGAUCGCUUGCCGAUAUUGGCAAAAAUCAUUCGAGCUCCAAGAAUAUGCAACGCUCAUCCACCGCCACCUCUGCCAACUCAUAUCCAAUGCACGUCGUCUCAUCGUCACCCGGAAUGCACGAUGACGUUGGUGAGCCAACACUGUCGCCACAAACCGCACUGCUCGGCGGAUCUGCCAAAGAUCAGCGAGGUCACUAUCUUGCACUACCAACAGUUGAAGAACAACAACACAACCAACAGCAACAACAACAGCAAACCGGCAACAGUGGCCAUCUUAAUGUCCCGGGUAACAACGGAAAUCAUUUAACCGUGCCUGGAAAAACUUCCGGGGAGAAUCUGAUUCAAAGUCCGAGCAAUCUCUCGAUGGCACGAAACACCAGCUCCGGAGAGCUGCAGAACGGCGAACACAAGACGAAUACGCAUUUUAUGAGAAAAAUUCCACCGGGAGCAGAGGCAAGCAAUAUCCUAGUGGGUGAGGUAGACUUCCUCGAUAAGACACUUGCAGCAUUCCUGCGGCUCAACAAUGCCGCCGUGAUGGGUGACCUGACCGAAGUACCCGUUCCAACCAGAUUCAUUUUCAUUCUGCUCGGUCCCCCAGGAAGCCACGGUAGCUUCCACGAGAUUGGACGUGCCAUGGCGACACUUAUGUCCGACGAAAUCUUCCACGAGGUUGCCUAUCGGGCCAAAAAGCGCGAGCAUCUUCUGGCUGGCGUCGAUGAAUUCUUGGACGCGGUUACUGUGCUACCUCCGGGCGAAUGGGAUCCGUCCAUUCGGAUAGAGCCGCCGGCGGCUAUACCGUCACAGGAAGUUCGCAAACGUCCUCCCGAGAAGAAUCCGAAGGAAGAAAUCGACGAAGAAGAGGAGGAACAACGACAGCGCGAGGAGUCAGGCCUUUCCCGUACCGGGCAUCUGUUCGGCGGGUUGAUCAACGAUUUGAAGCGUAAAAAGCCAUUCUACUGGUCGGACUUCAAAGACGGUCUGUCCAUGCAAUGUGUGGCUUCAUGGAUUUUUCUUUAUUUCGCGUGCCUGUCACCUAUAAUCACCUUCGGUGGCUUGCUAGGCUCAGCAACCGGUAACAACAUCGCGGCAAUGGAGUCGUUGGUUUCGGGUUUCGUUUGCGGCAUUGGGUAUGGAUUCUUCUCCGGUCAACCGCUUACAAUUCUUGGAUCGACCGGCCCUGUACUGGUGUUCGAGACAAUUGUGUACGAUUUUUGCAUGCAAGUAGGAUGGGACUACUUAACAUUCAGAUUCUGGAUUGGAACGUGGGUUGCCAUAAUUUUGAUCAUAUUGGUUGCGAUUGAUGCAAGCGCUUUCGUGUGCUAUAUCACCAGGUUUACGGAGGAGAAUUUUGCUUGCCUCAUUGCGUUUAUUUUUAUCUACAAAGCGGUAGAAAAUGUAUUGCACAUCGGCACCGACUAUCCGUUGAAUACUGCGGGGGUAAAAUAUGACUGUUCAUGUCUACCACCAGACAACGAAACAAUGUCCACGGAGAAUGUUCACGAGUGGUCACAGUAUGAUAAGAAAACUUGUUCCCUUUUGAAUGGAACUCUAUCCGGAGUGGACUGCGCGAAACCCGAGUACAUCUCCGAUGUCUUCCUGAUGUCGAUUAUCCUCUUCAUAGGCACCUACAUUAUAUCCGUGAUUUUGAAGGAUUUUAAGAACGCACUAUUCUUCGCAUCGAGCGUGAGGCAGUUUUUCAGCGACUUCGCCGUCAUUAUUGCGAUUUUAUCCAUGAGCAUGCUAGAUUUCGUCACCAACGUUCCAACCCCGAAGCUGGAGGUUCCGCGAGAGUUCAAGCCAACCAUUCCGGAUCGGGGAUGGGUGAUUCAACCAUUCCACGAGAAGAACCCGAUCUGGUCUUCGGUGCUCGCUGUACUGCCCGCCCUGUUGGGUACCAUCUUGAUCUUCAUGGAUCAACAAAUUACGGCUGUGAUAAUCAAUAGGAAAGAGCAUAAGCUAAAGAAAGGUUGUGGCUACCAUCUUGAUCUUUUUGUACUGGCCUUGCUGAUAGAGAUUUGCACAAUCAUGGGAUUACCAUGGUUUGUGGCCGCCACCGUACUCAGUAUUAAUCAUGUCAAUUCACUCAAGCAAGAGUCGGGAACAGCCGCUCCCGGUGAAAAACCACAAUUUCUGGGAGUCUGCGAACAACGGGUUACUCACAUACUGAUUUUCCUGACAAUCGGUUGUUCGGUACUGCUGACACCGCUGCUGUCACACAUUCCAAUGCCAGUAUUAUAUGGCGUUUUUCUGUACAUGGGAGCCGCAUCUCUCAAAGGACUUCAAUUUUUCGAUCGACUGCUGAUCAUGCUAAUGCCAAUCAAAUACCAGCCGGACUACAUGUUUUUACGACAGGUCCCCAUACGACGCGUUCAUCUGUUCACAUUGAUUCAGCUGGCAUGUCUGGUGAUGCUGUGGAUUAUUAAAUCAUUCUCAUCGACGUCGAUCCUGUUCCCACUGAUGUUGGUGGUAAUGAUCGGCCUCCGAAAGUCCCUCGAUUUGGUCUUCACAAGACGCGAGCUCAAGAUUCUGGACGAUGUUAUGCCGGAAAUGACGAAACGAGCGCACGCUGACGACCUCCGGCAGCUGGAGGAUGGCGAGGACUCGGGCCACCAUUCAGCGGACAACCUGCAGCUUCCGCUGGAGAAUGGCGCUCUCACUGCUAAAGGGAAAAUCAACAUAUCGGAGGAAGUCAAUCGCACCACCAUCUGGAAGCAGGUCAAUAAUUGUAACGUGCUGUUUACGAAGAAGCAAACCGAACCCGAUACCACCAAAAACCGCCAAGAUGCUGCAACACUACCAACGACCAAUUUAGUUGGUUCAACACCGCAACAACAACAACAACAAACGCAACAACAAUCACUUUCCGAGGCCGCAAAAAAACCGAACACAAUCGACCAGAGACUGUCCACCAUGAGAGAGGAGGAGGAAAACAAUCCGGAUGAUGCCAACAACCGUCAAUUAAACCAUUCCAAACGAACGCAGGUCUGAAUUUCUAACCUCAAAAUGCACUGAACACAAGUGUGCGAUCCUCCCAAAACCGUAGUCAUACGAGUCAUACUAUACAUCCAAUCAAAACCAUCCCUAACUUAUGCAACAGUACCAUAGCUAGUUUCGAUGUAUCUUUGUGAAAUCGAUCAUAGUUGACGACAGAUAAUAUUAGUUGGCAAGAUGUUACAGCUUAGAGCUUUGGCGGUGAAAGUCCCGAAGUUUUGUAUCAAAACGUAGCCGAAACAAUCCAGAUCUAACUUAUCAUUUGCAUUGAGUAACACAAACUCAUCACGGUCACUGUGAAUACAAUCAUAUUUGGUAGCAACGCUCGAUUCAUAAUUACGUUGGAGCAAAAGUUUUCUGCAAUCUGUUUAGUACAUCAACAUCAUUGAAUGUUUGCUUAAUCCUUCCCUCUUUCCAUAUAAAAUUAUUAAAUUGCGAAGGAAUGAAUGUCCGCUUCAUGAAAUCGGUUUCCGCAGUGCAGCUAUGAUAAUACGUUUAAGUUUACACUGUACAGCUUAGACCAUUUUACCAUUAAUAAUAUAAGAUAGUUUGUUGUUAAUUUGCUUCUUCCAUACGAUAAGUGUUAUUCAUCGACAUUACGUUGCUCUUAGUGUUACAAACUGCACACACUCGUGAAAAUGAACAAACAAUAUGUAGCUUAAUCGCGUUUUCAUUGCAUCAAUUAAAGUCGAACUAGAACAAAAAUGUUACGCUGUAGAAACAGUCCAAUUCCCCCUUAUGAUCAAAACGAGCUGACAGCUGCUUCCUUUUUCCUCCAUCAACCCCGUCGCAACUAUUUCGCAGAAACUAAAACGAGAGUUUUGGAUGAAUUCAUCCCGAGCCGGAAAUGCAGCGUACAUUCGUGGCAACACUACCGGGGAGAAGCGAGACGAAGGCGGUGGAGUUGCGGAAACAUCAAUCGGGAGCAACUUUAAUGCCUCCGAAACG